ensembl:lncRNA
AUGGCAUGGAGGGCAGCCACGCCUGGUAAGGAGACUGCCAGCAGUGGGCAGACACAGGGAACCCCAUCCCCGCCCACCUUGCACAGCUGGGAAGCUAUACAGGUGUGCCCCUCCCUGGCAAUGUCACCCUUCAAUGUUGCAGCCACCUCUGAGCAUGCGCACAACAAUGCCCUCCAGACGCACGGCCAGUGCUUUGGUGCAGGUGAGACCGCUGGCCCCACAGGGCAGGUUCUGGGCAGAGACUGUAAACAGGCCACUGGCCUCUCGCACCAGCAGAUACUCGCAGGCCCCAGGAAAGCUCCUUCUUGGACUCACCAGCAGCACCAUGCCGGGUGGACAGACACAGCCAUCAGCACUGCCUGCAGGGCAGGAGUGAUUGGCAGUAGGGCUGUCACAGGUGAGGAGACAGGCACCAGGGGCAUAGACAAGCUCUCUGGGGCAGAAUGCCUGCUGUGGAGGGCAGCGGUGAGCUGUGCAAUUCCAGAGGCCCCUUUCCUGGCAGACACUGCAGGAGGUUGAGAAGGAGUAAGAGGCAAGUCUAAGCCUCCAGGGACCUGAUCUGACCUGGUGAGAAUCUCAGGAACCCAGACGCUUGCUGGGUUCCCAGGUGUCCAGAUCCCAUCAUGUUGAGUGAAAACCAGCCCUGAUGCUGGAGACCUGUCCAUCUCAGCUUCCAAUACCCAGUCACCAACACAGGGAGCUGGACUGUUUCCAGCACCCUGACAUGCCUGGGAUAGACAUUGUCACCCUUUCUGUCCCAGCUCCAAUAGGGCCAUCCUCCAGGCUCUGGAGCAGGACAGAGGUAUUGAACCACCCUACUCCUAGCCCAGGUAGGAGAGGGGUUGCAUUGAAGCCUGCAUCCUCAGCCCCCACCUUCAUCAACCCUGGAUCCUGGUCCUGCCUGCACAGAUCCAUAAUCUGCCUUCACUUCUCUUGAACAAGCUGUGUGACUCUGCAAGCUGUUUAGUCUGUCUGAGCCUCAGUUUCCUCAUCUGCAAAAUGGGAACAAUUUUUCCACUUCUUACUUUAUUAGUUUAUGGUAGGAAGUAAAACUAGAUAAAAUGAUGCACAGGAAAGUGCUUUAUGGACCCUAAAGUGCCCCACGACCAAGGGGAAGUGAUCAGCACUCUGUCACCUCCAGCGUGCAUGCUGCCACCAGCAAGGCUGCACACUCCACCCGUUAUCUCCCAAGCUAGCUCUUCAUCCCCACAUUCUUCCUCUUGCCCCAAAGGUCGCUGCCCUCACCAGCGGUUGCACUCCUUCAUAGUGGCACUACCAGGGGCAUAGCGACGGGCUCCGAGCUGGCAGGGGCACGAGCUGGGGGGCACACACUGGCCCUCAGGGUCCCACAGCAGCCCCAGAGGACAGUUACAACUGGCCACACAGCUGCCCAGCUCCCCACAGUCCUCUGGCUCCCCGCAGUGUUGACCGCAUGCUGGGGCACACUCUCGGUACUCCUGGCCACCAGGACACAGAACAGCUGGGCACAGGGACACACACAGGUCAGGGGCAUAGCCACCGCUGGCUCUCUCCACCCCCUCUGAACCCC